GAUGAAGAACGUAGCGAAAUGCGAUAAGUAAUGCGAAUUGCAGAAUUUCCGUGAGUCAUCGAAUCUUUGAACGCACAUUGCGCCCACUGGUAUUCCGGUGGGCAUGCCUGUUCGAGCGUCAUUAUCCUCCCUCAAACCUCGGGUUUGGUGUUGGACCCAAGUUGUGUGAACAACUGGUCUUAAAGACAAUGACGGCGUCCGUGGGACCCUCGAUGCAACGAGCUUUUAGGAGCACGCGUCGAGUUUCAAGGACCUUCCGGGCCGGUCUCCUUUACCAUUUUACAAGGUUGACCUCGGAUCAGGUAGGAAUACCCGCUGAACUUAAGCAUAUCAAUAAGCGGAGGA
rnacentral:misc_RNA from 1 species